AGAGGGAGAGAACUUCACUUGGCCUCAGGAUGUGGAGGAGAAAAGUGUGGAGAUUCUGGACUCUAGAAUCAAGGAGGGACCCUUGACAAAACUCCUGGAAGUUUUGUCCAAUUCCUUCACUUCUCUUCCUAAAGACCAAGAACUUUUGCUUAUCCUGACUCUGGUUGAUCCUGAAGUCUCCAGGGAGCUAGCCCGGAUUUACAUUUUGGUGCCCAACGUGUGAACCAUGGACCCUAAUUUUACUGAAGAAUCCCAGGUGACCAGGAAAUAGGAUGAGUAAACAGAGGCUUAAACAAUUUGAUUAUGGACACAGAUCUAAUCAUCAACAGAACCUGGAUGCUUUUUAGAAAAGGAGUACAAUAGUUGUUUUCUUUCAAUAGCUUGAAGCUGGACACCAGGAGAAGGUGAAGUGACUUAACACUCAAACAAGAUUUGAAGUUUGACCAGUUUCAAAGAAGAAUGACCUUGAAGAGAACAGAAGGGGAACUGGUAAAGACCUUAGCUCUCUCAAAUGUCACCAAUUUUGCUCAGUCUGUAACACAGGGCAGAGACUUGAUCUUCACCAAAGAGGAGAGUAUCGCAUGCCAAUGGACUUUGGGUAGCAGUUACAAAUACAUACAUAUGUAUAUACAUUAAGUACAAAGAAAUUAUUUGCUAUAACCGACAGUGUCAGGAAGACCUAGAUUAAAUUAUGUCUUUAAUACAAACCUCUCUGAGCUUCAGUUUCCUUAUAUAUAAAAUGGGAAUAAUAAUACUAGUAGUCCUUGCCUCACAUGUUGUGAAGGUAAAAUGCUUGUCACACGGGUUUUGUGAUCUUUAAAGUGUGUUAUAGACUGUCCCCAAAAACUUAGUGCAAUUUAAAGCCUCCAAGUUAAGUCUUUCCUUUUCUUCUUCUUCAUCAUCAUCAUCAUCAUCAUCAA